GUUUGAUCCUGGCUCAGGAUGAACGCUAGCGGCAGGCUUAACACAUGCAAGUCGAGGGGUAUAGUUCUUCGGAACUAGAGACCGGCGCACGGGUGCGUAACGCGUAUGCAAUCUACCUUUUACAGCGGGAUAGCCCAGAGAAAUUUGGAUUAAUACCGCAUAGUAUAACAUGACCGCAUGGUCGAGUUAUUAAAGUCACAACGGUAAAAGAUGAGCAUGCGUCCCAUUAGCUAGUUGGUAAGGUAACGGCUUACCAAGGCAACGAUGGGUAGGGGUCCUGAGAGGGAGAUCCCCCACACUGGUACUGAGACACGGACCAGACUCCUACGGGAGGCAGCAGUGAGGAAUAUUGGUCAAUGGACGCAAGUCUGAACCAGCCAUGCCGCGUGCAGGAUGACGGUCCUAUGGAUUGUAAACUGCUUUUGUACGAGAAGAAACAACUCUACGUGUAGAGUCUUGACGGUAUCGUAAGAAUAAGGAUCGGCUAACUCCGUGCCAGCAGCCGCGGUAAUACGGAGGAUCCAAGCGUUAUCCGGAAUCAUUGGGUUUAAAGGGUCCGUAGGCGGUCUUAUAAGUCAGUGGUGAAAUCUCCCCGCUCAACGGGGAAACGGCCAUUGAUACUGUAGGACUUGAAUUAUUAGGAAGUAACUAGAAUAUGUAGUGUAGCGGUGAAAUGCUUAGAGAUUACAUGGAAUACCAAUUGCGAAGGCAGGUUACUACUAAUAUAUUGACGCUGAUGGACGAAAGCGUGGGUAGCGAACAGGAUUAGAUACCCUGGUAGUCCACG
rnacentral:rRNA from 1 species